UAAAUCAGUAACUUUGUCUUUCUGCCCUCGGUUGCAUCGAUUUCUCCUGCUUCUGCUUUGCUGGGCAGAGAGAGCAGGGUCCCUACUCUUCCAGGAUGAAGGGGCCAAUUAAUGAGUUUUCUCUGUCUCUGGAGAGUGGACCAGUGAAACCUUGGGAAAUAAAGAAUUGCUCCAAGGAGGAGGCUGCUCCCAGGCAGCACCAAGAGGAGAGGUCCACAGUCCAGCCUGGUUGGUCCCUCUGGCUUCAGCCUCUGAUUUUCAGACAUACAGGCUAGUCUCAGAGGACCAAGCUCCCCCGCCCAGCUCUCCACCCCCAAUCUGCCCAAACAAGUGAGUGACAUGUCCCUUCG
rnacentral:lncRNA from 1 species